ACCUGGCAGCAGGGAGCGUCGU
rnacentral:miRNA from 1 species